CUGACAGCCCUGAGGACCCAAGCCCUCUCUUAGCCACAGAAAAGAUAUAGUGGAGGCAGUAGUGAGAUCUACCUCACCGCAUUGCCAUGUGGGCCUCAAGCCUGUUUCAGAAGGGUCACCUCUAAACUGGCAGAAUAAUUCAAUAUUACAUCCUUUGCUGCUUAUCUGUAUUUGGAAGAG
ensembl:misc_RNA